UCCUUCUUAACCACGGUCAGGUUAAAAAUAGUCCAGAACUUUCAUUAUGUGAAAAUUCUGGAAAAAUAGUCCCAACUACCUAAGGGAAUUAAGAAGUAGGCCUACAGAUUCUCCGCAUGGCCUGAGUGAGGCCCAAGGAGCUAGGCCGCCCUGGAAUUAAACCCUUAGAAGUAGUAUGACCUGUACAAUUUUGUGCCUUUCGUUGUCUGGUCUAGGGGGUAGCACAUACGCCAAGCGUGAUUGGCUUGGUUUAAGCCAUUUCAGGGGAGGUGUCGCCUUUCAUUGUCUGGUCCAGGGGUAAUACACACGGCAAGCUUGAUCAACUUGACGGAGCCGGCUCGGGGAGGGUGUCUAAUGUAAAGGCUCGAAACACCCGACGAUCCGAGAGUGCAUUACUGAUGAUGUGUCCUGGCACAUGAUAAUGAGAGGUUUCGAUUUUCCUAUACAAGCAGCUGGCUUAGGAGCUCAGACUUUAAAUUCUGCAGACUAACCUUUGCCAGCUAAACAUAUAGAUCCACCAGCCCUACACUUAAACCUAAUCCUAAAGUCCAAAAGGGGCAUACACCCCCAUAAAUAGGCAAAUUCCAAGAGGGGUAGUCACCCCCAUAAACCCUAGGCAACUUCCAAGGGGGGCAUACACCCCCACAAACCCUAGGCAUUCCCCGAUUAACUUUUGAUAUUCUGAGAAGGGUAGGAUUCAACAAGGGCAAGUGUGGGACCUGGUUAAUGAAGGCGUGGGCCAGAUCAAAGUGGCAGGGUGAUGUGAAACAGAAUCUCAAGUGAAGAGAUCAGAAAUCACAAGAGGGCUUUUUAGCCCACUGCCCGCAUAAUUUCAACCUAACCUAGCAGUGACACGCUCUUCAUUCUCCCGGCCCCAGAAAGGCCAAUAAGAAAACCCAGAUAUUUUAUUUCACCUAUUAGGUGUUAAAAAAUUCAUAGUUAAAAGAAUGGAGAGGUUCACCAAUCAGCAGCUAAUGUACCUUUAAGGGCUGAGGUGAGCCGGUCUCCUAGCAACAGCCAGGUUUGCAGCAGGUGGACAAUUAGGUUUUAGUAUCACAUUAGUUAAAAGAGGCCCUGCGGGGGGAAGAAGGUCAGGGACGUUUUAACUGGAUAGCAGUACUGUCUGGGUUUAGAGACUCCACAGAAGACCCGAGUGACGGACGAGAGUCGAGUUGGACCUUCCGGUCGGGAAUCACGCUUUUUUGAAGGCAAUUGGUUGGAGUCGAAAUCGCAGACGCAAGAUAAGCAGUAGGAACAUUAUUCUUUUAUUUAUUGUCUUACUUACAUUAUUGUCUUAAUGAUGUGGAAAGGCAAAGAUAGGAGAGGUUGUGUGGAUCGAUACCUGCCACGUGGGCGAGUGGGUAUCUCUGGUUAGUGUCCCUGGGGAUUCCUUCUUAACCACGGUCAGGUUAAAAAUAGUCCAGAACUUUCAUUAUGUGAAAAUUCUGGAAAAAUAGUCCCAACUACCUAAGGGAAUUAAGAAGUAGGCCUACAGAUUCUCCGCAUGGCCUGAGUGAGGCCCAAGGAGCUAGGCCGCCCUGGAAUUAAACCCUUAGAAGUAGUAUGACCUGUACAAUUUUGUGCCUUUCGUUGUCUGGUCUAGGGGGUAGCACAUACGCCAAGCGUGAUUGGCUUGGUUUAAGCCAUUUCAGGGGAGGUGUCGCCUUUCAUUGUCUGGUCCAGGGGUAAUACACACGGCAAGCUUGAUCAACUUGACGGAGCCGGCUCGGGGAGGGUGUCUAAUGUAAAGGCUCGAAACACCCGACGAUCCGAGAGUGCAUUACUGAUGAUGUGUCCUGGCACAUGAUAAUGAGAGGUUUCGAUUUUCCUAUACAAGCAGCUGGCUUAGGAGCUCAGACUUUAAAUUCUGCAGACUAACCUUUGCCAGCUAAACAUAUAGAUCCACCAGCCCUACACUUAAACCUAAUCCUAAAGUCCAAAAGGGGCAUACACCCCCAUAAAUAGGCAAAUUCCAAGAGGGGUAGUCACCCCCAUAAACCCUAGGCAACUUCCAAGGGGGGCAUACACCCCCACAAACCCUAGGCAUUCCCCGAUUAACUUUUGAUAUUCUGAGAAGGGUAGGAUUCAACAAGGGCAAGUGUGGGACCUGGUUAAUGAAGGCGUGGGCCAGAUCAAAGUGGCAGGGUGAUGUGAAACAGAAUCUCAAGUGAAGAGAUCAGAAAUCACAAGAGGGCUUUUUAGCCCACUGCCCGCAUAAUUUCAACCUAACCUAGCAGUGACACGCUCUUCAUUCUCCCGGCCCCAGAAAGGCCAAUAAGAAAACCCAGAUAUUUUAUUUCACCUAUUAGGUGUUAAAAAAUUCAUAGUUAAAAGAAUGGAGAGGUUCACCAAUCAGCAGCUAAUGUACCUUUAAGGGCUGAGGUGAGCCGGUCUCCUAGCAACAGCCAGGUUUGCAGCAGGUGGACAAUUAGGUUUUAGUAUCACAUUAGUUAAAAGAGGCCCUGCGGGGGGAAGAAGGUCAGGGACGUUUUAACUGGAUAGCAGUACUGUCUGGGUUUAGAGACUCCACAGAAGACCCGAGUGACGGACGAGAGUCGAGUUGGACCUUCCGGUCGGGAAUCACGCUUUUUUGAAGGCAAUUGGUUGGAGUCGAAAUCGCAGACGCAAGAUAAGCAAGACUCCACAGAAGACCCGAGUGACGGACGAGAGUCGAGUUGGACCUUCCGGUCGGGAAUCACACUUUUUUGAAGGCAAUUGGUUGGAGUCGAAAUCGCAGACGCAAGAUAAGCAAGACUCCACAGAAGACCCGAGUGACGGACGAGAGUCGAGUUGGACCUCCCGGUCGGGAAUCACGCUUUUUUGAAGGCAAUCCGCUGGAGUCGAAAUCGCAGACGCAAGACAAGCAGUA